UACGAAGGGGGCUAGCGUUGCUCGGAAUCACUGGGCGUAAAGAGCUCGUAGGCGGUUCGUCGCGUCGGCUGUGAAAACCCGAGGCUCAACCUCGGGCCUGCAGUCGAUACGGGCGGACUGGAGUUCGGCAGGGGAGACUGGAAUUCCUGGUGUAGCGGUGAAAUGCGCAGAUAUCAGGAGGAACACCGGUGGCGAAGGCGGGUCUCUGGGCCGAUACUGACGCUGAGGAGCGAAAGCAUGGGUAGCGAACAGG
rnacentral:rRNA from 1 species